GACGAACGCUGGCGGCGUGCUUAACACAUGCAAGUCGAACGGAAACGCCCCUUUGGGGUUACUCGAGUGGCGAACGGGUGAGUAACACGUGAGUAACCUGCCCUUUCCUUCUUUAUAACUUCAUUAAACUGGGGCUAAUACCGGAUAGGAAUCCUUUCUUCUUGGUGGGGGUUGGAAAGCUUCGCCGGUCUUGGGUGGACUCGCGGCCUAUUAGCUUGUUGGUGGGGUAGUGGCUUACCAAGGCUUUGACAGGUAGCCGGCCUGAGAGGGGGACCGGCCACAUUGGGACUGAGAAACGGCCCAGAUUGCUACGGGGGGAAGAAGUGGGGAAACUUGAACAAUAGGCGGAAGCAUGAUGAAGCAAGGCCGCGUGCGGGAUGACGGCCUUGGGGUUGUAAACCGCUUUCAGCAGGGGACAAGGUUGUGGUGACGGUACCUGCAGAAGAAGCACCGGCUAACUACGUG
rnacentral:rRNA from 1 species